rnacentral:rRNA from 1 species
AACGAACGCUGGCGGCAGGCCUAACACAUGCAAGUCGAACGCCGUAGCAAUACGGAGUGGCAGACGGGUGAGUAACACGUGGGAACAUACCCUUCGGUUCGGAAUAACUCAGGGAAACUUGAGCUAAUACCGGAUACGUCCGCGAGGAGAAAGAUUCAUCGCCGGAGGAUUGGCCCGCGUCUGAUUAGCUUGUUGGUGAGGUAACGGCUCACCAAGGCGACGAUCAGUAGCGGUCUGAGAGGAUGAUCAGCCACACUGGGACUGAGACACGGCCCAGACUCCUACGGGAGGCAGCAGUGGGGAAUAUUGGACAAUGGGCGCAAGCCUGAUCCAGCAAUGCCGCGUGAGUGAGGAAGGCCUUAGGGUUGUAAAGCUC